rnacentral:rRNA from 1 species
CCUACGGGGGGCUGCAGUGGGGAAUAUUGGACAAUGGGGGCAACCCUGAUCCAGCCAUGCCGCGUGUGUGAAGAAGGCCCUCGGGUUGUAAAGCACUUUCAGUGAGGAAGAACGCCUGGUGGUUAAUACCCAUCAGGAAAGACAUCACUCACAGAAGAAGCACCGGCUAACUCCGUGCCAGCAGCCGCGGUAAUACGGAGGGUGCGAGCGUUAAUCGGAAUUACUGGGCGUAAAGCGCGCGUAGGUGGCUUGAUAACCCGGUUGUGAAAGCCCCGGGCUCAACCUGGGAACGGCAUCCGGAACUGUCAAGCUAGAGUGCAGGAGAGGAAGGUAGAAUUCCCGGUGUAGCGGUGAAAUGCGUAGAGAUCGGGAGGAAUACCAGUGGCGAAGGCGGCCUUCUGGACUGAAACUGACACUGAGGUGCGAAAGCGUGGGUAGCAAACAGGAUUAGAUACCCUUGUAGUC